AGCCUGCUAGCUAACGUUAUCUAUUCUAAGUGAGCCAACUCUCAAUCCAAAAUGGCGACGACAAAAAGACGGAAGUCGUAGAGAGCUGGGCAGAGGAUGGAUGACCCAAAUUCCAGCAGAUGUGGUUGUGUCCAAAGCAAGUCAUUCCAGUGGUUCCAUCACUUCCAGUACAACAGUUCGAGGUCCUGUCAUCACCAGUCUGGAGAUGGUCCUGUAGUCCAGCAGCUGCUGCAGGGCUUCCAGGGUCAACAGCCUGCACAUAACAGGGAGCCCUGCCUCGGACGACAAAGCCCCAGCCCAGAGCAUCUCCUAACACCUGGGAUCACAACAAGAGGUUGAAGACAGCUGGACAAGAGGUGCAAAUCCAGCAGUGUGAAGCUGAAGUGAGUUCAAGCUGCCUCGACGCCCACUUGUAACCUGUUUCAGGUCUUUACCUAAC